rnacentral:rRNA from 1 species
UACGUAGGUGUCGAGCGUUGUCCGGAUUUAUUGGGCGUAAAGCGCCCGCAGGCGGCUUGGCAAGUUUGAGGUGAAAUCUCCCGGCUCAACUGGGAGGGUGCCUCGAAAACUGCCAGGCUUGAGUCAUGGAGAGGGAUGUGGAAUUCCAGGUGUAGUGGUGAAAUGCGUAGAUAUCGGGAGGAACACCAGUGGCGAAGGCGGCUUCCUGGCCUGUUCUUGACGCUGAGGCGCGAAAGCUAGGGUAGCAAACGGG